GGAGGACUGGCCGAGUGGUAAGGCACCGGCUUGCCGAGCCGUGAUCGGGGUCCGGCCCCGCGCGCGUUCGAUCCGCGCAUCCUCCG
rnacentral:tRNA from 1 species